AUAGGAAACUUUCUUAAGCAAGUAGCAUAUAACAUAGAGCCUGAUUCUCAGCAGAUUCUCUGUAAGCCUUCCUUUUUCUUCCUUGCCCUACUUCUAGAUAGUGAACAUGAGAAAAGAAAGACCGUGGCUUCUUUAUUCCUCCAACACCUUUACUGAACUGAAACCAGGUUUAUGCGAUGCUACUGUGGAGAAGAGAACUAAUGUUUAUGGAACCAGGACAAAUCCUCUUAAGAAUGGGCAAGCAAAGAAGCAUGUAAUAUUUACUGAGCAUCUGUUUAGUUCCAGCUAUUUCAUUUGUAUCAGCUGCUCACAACAGUCCAGCCUCCAUUUUAAAGAUGAGCAAUCAGAGAUUCAGAAGAAAGUACCCACAAUGUACAUACAGUAAAACCUGCAAAAGCCAGACCCUGUGUAAGGUGGAAACCUGUCAGAGAAGGAAAAGUCACAAACAGUGUUUUCCAUUAAAAUGAGCGACAGAAAAAUGAUGAAGGAAUCAAAACUCUAAAGUCAUAUAAUU